rnacentral:rRNA from 1 species
GGACAGGUGCUCGCCCUUGCUCUCUUACACCCACACACCCCUGUGCACCCUUGCGUGGGUCGCGUCGACUUUGUUCGGCGCGCUCGCGACUUUAUACAAACCCCCCUGUAUGUUUUAGAAUGUCUCUGCGUACCUACGCAACCUAGUACAACUUUCAACAACGGAUCUCUUGGCUCUCGCAUCGAUGAAGAACGCAGCGAAAUGCGAUAAGUAAUGUGAAUUGCAGAAUUCAGUGAAUCAUCGAAUCUUUGAACGCACCUUGCACUCCUUGGUAUUCCGAGGAGUAUGCCUGUUUGAGUGUCAUGUAAUCAUCAAUCCCGCUUACCUUUGUUGGUUCAAGUGCGGCUUGGAUUUGGAGGUUUAACUUGCUGGCUUUGUAAUGAAGUCGGCUCCUCUUGAAGAUAUUAGUCGGAACUCGAUCGCUCUCGUCGUGGUACGCGGUGUGAUAAUUUAUUCACCCAUCGGUAAAUCCACUUCUUGCGGUUCGACUGGCUUCUAACACUUUUUCGUAAUGAAAAAACUUUGACAAUCUGGCCUCAAAUCAGGUAGGACUACCCGCUGAACUUAAGCAUAUCAAUAAGCGGAGGA